AUACGGAGGAUCCGAGCGUUAUCCGGAUUUAUUGGGUUUAAAGGGUGCGCAGGCGGGAGAUUAAGUCGGCGGUGAAAUUUUGCAGCUCAACUGUAAAAGGGCCUUCGAAACUGGUUUUCUUGAGGGUAGAUGAAGGAGGAGGAAUUUGUGGGGGAGCGGGGAAAUGCAUAGAUAUCACGAGGAACUCCGAUUGCGCAGGCAGCUUACUAAACUACUACUGACGCUCAGGCACGAAGGCGUGGGGAUCAAACAGGAUUAGAUACCCUGGUAGUCCACGCAGUAAACGAUGAUUACUAGCUGUUUGCGAUACAAUGUAAGCGGCUGAGCGAAAGCGUUAAGUAAUCCACCUGGGGAGUACGUUCGCAAGAAUGAAACUCAAAUGAAUCGGCGGGG
rnacentral:rRNA from 1 species